rnacentral:rRNA from 1 species
AACGAGCGCUCGCGGCGUGCCUAACACAUGCAAGUCGCGCGGGCUUGGAGGGCUUGCUCUCCAAGUCAGCGGCAGACGGGUGAGUAACACGUGGGUAACCUGCCCUCGAGUGGGGGAUAACCCGGGGAAACUCGGGCUAACACCGCAUAACAUCGCUUGGUCUUCGGACUGGGCGAUCAAAGCCGGGGAUCGCAAGACCUGGCGCUUGAGGAGGGACCCGCGUCCGAUUAGCUAGUUGGUGGGGUAACGGCCCACCAAGGCAACGAUCGGUAGCUGGUCUGAGAGGACGGCCAGCCACACUGGGACUGAGACACGGCCCAGACUCCUACGGGAGGCAGCAGUGGGGAAUAUUGGACAAUGGGGGCAACCCUGAUCCAGCAAUGCCGCGUGUGUGAAGAAGGCCUUCGGGUUGUAAAGCACUUUUAGUGGGGAAGAAAAGUUCGAGAUUAAUACCCUCGAGCCUUGACGUUACCCAAAGAAAAAGCACCGGCUAACUCUGUGCCAGCCGCCGCCGUAACAC